rnacentral:rRNA from 1 species
AUUGAACGCUGGCGGCAGGCCUAACACAUGCAAGUCGAACGAGUGGCGGACGGGUGAGUCAUGUCUGGGAAACUGCCCGAUGGAGGGGGAUAACUACUGGAAACGGUAGCUAAUACCGCAUACCAUCGGAUGUACCCAGAUGGGAUUAGCUAGUAGGUGGGGUAAAGGCACACCUAGGCGACGAUCCCUAGCUGGUCUGAGAGGAUGACCAGCCACACUGGAACGGAGACACGGUCAAGACUCCUACGGGGGGCAGCAGUGGGGAAUAUUGCACAAUGGGCGCAAGCCUGAUGCAGACAUGCCGGGGGUAUGAAGAGGGCUUUCGGGUGGUAAAGUACUUUAAGCGAGGAGGCGUUACCCGCAGAAGAAGCACCGGCUAACUCCGUGCCAGCAGCCGCGGUAAUAC